ACUCAAAUGAAUUGACGGGGGCCCGCACAAGCAGUGGAGCAUGUGGUUCAAUUCGAUGCAACGCGAAGAACCUUACCCGGAUUUGAAAGGCCAGUGACAACCGAUGAAAGUCGGUUUUGUAGCAAUACACACUGGUACAGGUGCUGCAUGGCUGUCGUCAGCUCGUGCCGUGAGGUGUUAGGUUAAGUCCUGCAACGAGCGCAACCCCUACAUUUAGUUGCCAUCAGGUCAAGCUGGGCACUCUAAAUGGACUGCCUACGCAAGUAGUGAGGAAGGUGGGGAUGACGUCAAGUCCUCAUGGCCCUUACAUCCGGGGCCACACACGUGCUACAAUGGACAUUACAAAGGGUUGCAGAGCCGCGAGGCGAAGCUAAUCCCAAAAAAAUGUUCUCAGUUCGGAUUGGAGUCUGCAACUCGACUCCAUGAAGCUGGAAUUGCUAGUAAUCGCGGAUCAGCACGCCGCGGUGAAUACGUUCCCGGGCCUUGUACACACCGCCCGU
rnacentral:rRNA from 1 species